UACGUAGGGGGCAAGCGUUAUCCGGAUUUACUGGGUGUAAAGGGAGCGUAGACGGCGAUGCAAGUCUGAAGUGAAAGGCGGGGGCCCAACCCCCGGACUGCUUUGGAAACUGUAUAGCUGGAGUGCAGGAGAGGCAGGCGGAAUUCCUAGUGUAGCGGUGAAAUGCGUAGAUAUUAGGAGGAACACCAGUGGCGAAGGCGGCCUGCUGGACGACAACUGACGGUGAGGCGCGAAAGCGUGGGUAUCGAACAGG
rnacentral:rRNA from 1 species